rnacentral:rRNA from 1 species
AGUGAACGCUGGCGGCAUGCCUUACACAUGCAAGUCGAACGGCAGCAUAGUAUAAGUUUGUUCAUAGAUGUCGCGAGGGGCGCGGGGGAGUGAUACAUCUGGACAUGCCCUGUAUUGGGGGGUAACAAGUCGGGAAAUUAGCUACUAACGCAUACGACCUGAGUGUGAAAGAGGGGGACCUCAAGGACUCAUGCUAUAGGGGCGGCCAAUGUCUGAUUAGCUAGUUGGUGAGGUAAAGGCUCACCAAGGCGACGAUCAGUAGCUGGUCUGAGAGGAUGAUCAGCCACACUGGGACUGAGACACGGUCCAGACUCCUACGGGAGGCAGCAGUGGGGAAUUUUGGACAAUGGGCGAAAGCCUGAUCCAGCAAUGCCGCGUGGGUGAAGAAGGCCUUCGGGUUGUAAAGCACUUUUGUUAGGAAAGAAAGGGAUCUGGUUAAUACCUGGGGGUGAUGACGGUACCGAAAGAAUAAGCACCGGCUAACUACGUG